UACGUAGGGUGCGAGCGUUGUCCGGAAUUUAUUGGGCGUAAAGAGCUCGUAGGCGGUGUGUCGCGUCGGCCGUGAAAACCUGCAGCUUAACUGUGGGCGUGCGGUCGAUACGGGCAUCACUGGAGUUCGGCAGGGGAGACUGGAAUUCUGGUGUAGCGGUGAAAUGCGCAGAUAUCAGGAGGAACACCGGUGGCGAAGGCGGGUCUCUGGGCCGAUACUGACGCUGAGGAGCGAAAGCGUGGGGAGCGAACAGG
rnacentral:rRNA from 1 species